UACAGAGGAUGCGAGCGUUAAUCGGAAUUACUGGGCGUAAAGCGCACGUAGGUGGCUUUGCAAGUCGAUUGUGAAAUCCCCGGGCUUAACCUGGGAACUGCAGUCGAGACUGCUCUGCUUGAGUAUGGGAGAGGGAGGUGGAAUUUCCGGUGUAGCGGUGAAAUGCGUAGAUAUCGGAAGGAACAUCAGUGGCGAAGGCGACCUCCUGGACCAAUACUGACACUCAAGUGCGAAAGCGUGGGGAGCAAACAGG
rnacentral:rRNA from 1 species